rnacentral:rRNA from 1 species
AGGCCAGACUCCUACGGGAGGCAGCAGUGGGGGAUAUUGCACAAUGGGGGGAACCCUGAUGCAGCGACGCCGCGUGGGUGAAGGAGUAUUUCGGUAUGUAAAGCCCUAUCGGCAGGGAAGAAGCAAGACGGUACCUGACUAAGAAGCCCCGGCUAACUACGUGCCAGCAGCCGCGGUAAUACGUAGGGGGCAAGCGUUAUCCGGAUUUACUGGGUGUAAAGGGGGCGCAGACGGCAGCGCAAGCCAGGAGUGAAAGCCCGGGGCCCAACCCCGGGACUGCUCUUGGAACUGCGCGGCUGGAGUGCAGGAGGGGCAGGCGGAAUUCCUGGUGUAGCGGUGAAAUGCGUAGAUAUCAGGAGGAACACCGGCGGCGAAGGCGGCCUGCUGGACCGCGACUGACGUUGAGGCUCGAAAGCGUGGGGAGCAAACAGGAUUAGAUACCCGCGUA